CACUUUGACAUUGAUCUUGAAGCUGGCCUUCCAACCCCAUGGAACCCCACCCCUUCCCACAUCAGCAGAGUAGUCAGAAGGUGAACUCCAUGAGGACAGGAAAACAGUCUCUCCUCUGCCCUUAGUAUCCAGGACACUGCCUGCACAAGGUAGAAAAGUUGGGCUCACGAGGGGAGCAGGUGGCCUGGAAUUUGCAGGGAACCAGGGUGAAUAAGCACAGUGGAGAAGAGGCACAGAAUAUUCUACACCAGAUGUAUAUUACAGCCUAAGAGAACAUCAUAGGCCAAAAGGCCAGUGUUUGGCAAGAGAUACAGCCAACAGAGGGAUCUGUGGGAUGAAUGAAAAAACACAGUGAAGACGUGGAAGGAGGAAACCAGGCAUCCGCAGAGAUG